AUUAAAAAUGUGACACAGGGACUAAGAGGCCGGUGACGUCACAUACACAGGGGGCUAGGGAGGCGUGAGGAUGGGAAACUGCCUGCGAGGGUGUUGACAGGCAGUAGAUCGUGGCUCUGUCAUUGUGACCUCACCACCAAGCAUUUAAAGAUUUAGGAGUCACAGCAAAGUGGCACACAGAGUCCCUAAGAAUUCGGCCCUUCUCUCUGUCAUCUCUUCUGGACUCAAACACCUAGAGCACAUGGUAGCGGGCCCUCGAUACUAGGCACUGCUGAGUGUUGGAAAGAGCACAGUAGAUGGGAAAUGGAGUUUUUAGAGAUGAAAAGUCAUCGACAGGGAACAGAAUACGGGAUCUGCUGCUGAGAAGAGGCCCUAGAUAUUCUGUGGCUGCCAGAGCUAUUGAGAAGCCCAUGUGUCAGUGAGCAGCUAUUGAGAAGCCCAUGUGUCAAGGAACUGAAGACUCCAAACAACAGCCAAUAAGGAACUGAGUCAUGCCUGUGACUACCUGAGUGAGCUUGAAAACAGACCCAUCAGUGCUAGGCAAGUCUUGAAAUCACUGUAGCUCUGGCUAAUGUCUCUGCAACCUCAGGAGAGACCCAGAUCCAGAACCACCCAGCCACGCUGCUCCUGGAUUCCUCAGGCAUUAUUCCCAUAUUGCUGAUGAAGACACUGGGCCUCAGGAUGUGCUGUCAUUCCAGGGAAGCUGGCAGAGACUUGCAGACUCUGGUUGUGUUGAAGAUUAAAGAGAAUGAUGUGUAUAAAAGAAGUAUGGGGAGUGGAAAUUCUUGCUCCCUUUGAAAUGCCAUUACAAACACACAGUGAUAGGAAAGUAACCAGUAGGUCACAGGAAGAGACAGUUUAGCUAGAAACAACAUGUAUACACAACUUUUUGGUGAAUUUUGGGUAAUUCCUCUUUUCCCUCUGCUUUCGACUGAGCACACGGAUCUGCCAUACAGGCAUAGAAAGGCCACGAGUCCUGGUAUUUUCUUCAGGUGGUGGAAACAAAAUUAGCUCCAGCCUCCUUGACUCCAGUGUUCAAAUUGAGAGAAGAAAAAUCUCUCUCUUGGAUGUUCGUAUUAGAGACAAGUCCUAGAAGGUGGAAUGGAGUCAUCCUCAGGCUGGACUGCGACGAAGCUGUGCUCGUGCUGGCGGGUGGC